UGUAUCGUCUGCAGGUUCUUGGUUCCCGCACCGUCUCCGGGACUCGGAGUUUCCGGCUGCGGGUAGCGUAGGGGACAAGAGAUGCGUAGUUACUACCCCCGGCAGGAUGUGGGAGAUGCCCCUCUCCCACGUUUCCCUCACCCACUCCCAGCCCAGCUUUGUGCUUUGACUUAACCUAAAUGAUGAGAUCGAUUAGGAAAGGAAUUGGAGACAAAACAAGACACUAGCGUUUUCUGAGGUGUCCACAGGGUCGGUUUCUCUGAGCCCUCUCCUGGGCUUGCCUACGGCUGACUUCUCACUGUGGCCUUUCCUCUGUGCCUGUGCACUCCUGGUGUCUCUUUCCUCUUCUUAUAAGGACACCAGUCCUAUCCUUGAGGACCCGACCCUUAUGACCUUAUUUAACCUUAAUCACCUCCUUAAGUGCUCUGUCUCCAAAUACAGUCACACUGGGGGUUAGGGCUUCCAGUGCAUGGAUUUUGCGAGGGGCACACAAUUCAGUCCAGAACAGUUGGGAACUAUCUUGUCACUCUCUGUAUUUUCCCAUAGCACCUAGCACAGCGCCUUGCAAAAUGGUAAAUCUAGAUUUUUGUUAACAAAGUGAUAGAAGACCUGAUGGGAACUGGGAGAGGAGUUAUAACGUCAUUUAAAUCUAUUGUCUUAGCUCAUCUUUGUUUAUAAAAUUUCUGAGCUCUAUUCUGGAAGGUCCUAGUUCCUGCUUGGAACUUCAAAGUCUCCAGGACAAUGGCACAGAGGUGUCGCAGUGGAUGUGGGAUCAUUGGAUGAUCACAGCAUGGCUUGGGGGCCUCCGUGGCCAUUCAUCUUGGUGAGCAGAGAUUGCAUUGCCACUUUGAAUGAUUGGACUAGAACAUCUGUCUUGGCAUCCUGUCCCCUUCAGAACCCACGCUGGAUUCUUUUUGGCUCAUAUGGCUAGUGGCCGCCAUACUGAAGAGUGCAGCUCUUUUCUCCUCCUUGGGACAGAUGUGGCUGAAGAUAAGAGACUGAGGAGAUGUGCAGACACAAAGUGAAAUGUUAAGCCGACUCGUUACCCAAGGAGAGCACGUUUCUGUAGUUGUCCAGCAUCACGUCUCUGUAGAGGGCCUUCUGAGGCCAGUCCAGUGCGUCCCACUCUUCCCUGGUGAAGUACACAGCCACGUCCUCAAAGGCCAGCAACCCCUGGAAACACAGCGACUAACUGCAGCUGCGAUUCUUACAAUAACUUCGUGAGCUACAGUAUUAUUAUUACAGAUGGUCAACACUGGAGGCUUCUCUGGCCGUUUGGUCUCUGCUGCAGUCACUCAGCUCUGCUCUGGUAGCACAGACGCAGCACAGACAACAGGAGAGCAAAUGGGUGUGGCUGUGACCCAAUAAAACUACUCCCGGCUCCAGGAAACAUUUACUGAGCACCAAGAAGUCGCCGGCCUCCGCGCCACACGCCAGUGACAGUGAACGCACAGAGGUGACAGCUCCUGCUGGGCCCACAGGACCAGCUCCUCGGGCUGCGCACUGCUCGACUCUAGGGGACACUUCACAUGGCAGCUGUGACCACGGGGCCCCCAGAGCUGCUAAGUGCACAGCCUGUGCGACCCACGGAGCCCCAGCCCCGCUUCAGGGAGUGAAGGGUCCAGUGGGGAAGCGGGAGAAGUCAACACGGUGACGAUCCGGGGGUCCACGGGGGCCGAUGGGGGCUGUGAGGACAGGGGCUCACCCCACCCCCUCCUCUCAGGAGGCACUGCCAGUCACAUCCCAGAAAACAGCCCCCGGGGCACAUGGCCCUCACCUCCUCCCGCCUCCCCACCGGCUCCCAGACAUUCCCUGCAUCGGGCCUCACCCCUCCUCUCCUCUCCCUCCUGGUGACCCCUCCUCCUCGGCCCGAUUCCAUUCUCUCCUGUCUCCUCCAGGGUCUUAAUCCAAUGACCACUACUCUUCUGUCUUUGCCCUUUUCGCCCUUGUGAUACUGUGAUUUAAGUAAGAAAUAUAUAUUUGGU